rnacentral:rRNA from 1 species
ACAGCAGUAGCCACGGUAAUACAGAGGGUGCGAGCGUUAAUCGGAUUUACUGGGCGUAAAGCGUGCGUAGGCGGCUAAUUGAGUCGGAUGUGAAAUCCCCGAGCUUAACUUGGGAAUUGCAUUCGAUACUGGUUAGCUAGAGUGUGGGAGAGGAUGGUAGAAUUCCAGGUGUAGCGGUGAAAUGCGUAGAGAUCUGGAGGAAUACCGAUGGCGAAGGCAGCCAUCUGGCCUAACACUGACGCUGAGGUACGAAAGCAUGGGGAGCAAACAGGAUUAGAUACCCCCGUAGUCCCUGUCUCUUAUAC